GACGAACGCUGGCGGCGUGCUUAACACAUGCAAGUCGAACGGAAAGGCCCCUUCGGGGGUGCUCGAGUGGCGAACGGGUGAGUAACACGUGGGUGAUCUGCCCUGCACUUUGGGAUAAGCCUGGGAAACUGGGUCUAAUACCGAAUACACCCUGCUGGUCGCAUGGCCUGGUGGGGGAAAGCUUUUGCGGUGUGGGAUGGGCCCGCGGCCUAUCAGCUUGUUGGUGGGGUGAUGGCCUACCAAGGCGACGACGGGUAGCCGGCCUGAGAGGGUGUCCGGCCACACUGGGACUGAGAUACGGCCCAGACUCCUACGGGAGGCAGCAGUGGGGAAUAUUGCACAAUGGGCGCAAGCCUGAUGCAGCGACGCCGCGUGGGGGAUGACGGCCUUCGGGUUGUAAACCCCUUUCAGUAUCGACGAAGCCGUGAGGUGACGGUAGGUACAGAAGAAGCACCGGCCAACUACG
rnacentral:rRNA from 1 species